rnacentral:rRNA from 1 species
AUGAACGCUAGCUACAGGCUUAACACAUGCAAGUCGAGGGGCAGCAUGAACUUAGCUUGCUAAGUUUGAUGGCGACCGGCGCACGGGUGAGUAACACGUAUCCAACCUGCCGAUGACUCGGGGAUAGCCUUUCGAAAGAAAGAUUAAUACCCGAUGGCAUAGUUCUUCCGCAUGGUAGAACUAUUAAAGAAUUUCGGUCAUCGAUGGGGAUGCGUUCCAUUAGGUUGUUGGCGGGGUAACGGCCCACCAAGCCUUCGAUGGAUAGGGGUUCUGAGAGGAAGGUCCCCCACAUUGGAACUGAGACACGGUCCAAACUCCUACGGGAGGCAGCAGUGAGGAAUAUUGGUCAAUGGACGAGAGUCUGAACCAGCCAAGUAGCGUGAAGGAUGACUGCCCUAUGGGUUGUAAACUUCUUUUAUACGGGAAUAAAGUGAGGCACGUGUGCCUUUUUGUAUGUACCGUAUGAAUAAGGAUCGGCUAACUCCGUGCCAGCAGCCGCGGUAAUACGGAGGAUCCGAGCGUUAUCCGGAUUUAUUGGGUUUAAAGGGAGCGUAGGCGGACGCUUAAGUCAGUUGUGAAAGUUUGCGGCUCAACCGUAAAAUUGCAGUUGAUACUGGGUGUCUUGAGUACAGUAGAGGCAGGCGGAAUUCGUGGUGUAGCGGUGAAAUGCUUAGAUAUCACGAAGAACUCCGAUUGCGAAGGCAGCUUGCUGGACUGUAACUGACGCUGAUGCUCGAAAGUGUGGGUAUCAAACAGGAUUAGAUACCCUGGUAGUCCACACAGUAAACGAUGAAUACUCGCUGUUUGCGAUAUACAGUAAGCGGCCAAGCGAAAGCGUUAAGUAUUCCACCUGGGGAGUACGCCGGCAACGGUGAAACUCAAAGGAAUUGACGGGGGCCCGCACAAGCAGUGGAGUAUGUGGUUUAAUUCGAAGCAACGCGAAGAACCUUACCAAGUCUUGACAUCCCGAUGACCGUCCCGUAACGGGGGCUUCUCUUCGGAGCAUCGGUGACAGGUGGUGCAUGGUUGUCGUCAGCUCGUGUCGUGAGAUGUUGGGUUAAGUCCCGCAACGAGCGCAACCCCUGUACUUAGUUGCCAGCAUGUAGAGAUGGGAACUCUAAGUAGACUGCCGCGAAUAACGCGGAGGAAGGUGGGGAUGACGUCAAAUCAUCAUGCCCUUUAUGUCCUGGGCUACACACGUACUACAAUGGCUAUUACAGAGGGAAGCGAAGCCGCGAGGUGGAGCAAAACCCAAAAAAGUAGUCUCAGUUCGGAUUGAAGGCUGAAAUUCGCCUUCAUGAAGCCGGAAUUGCUAGUAAUGGCAGGUCAGCAUACUGCCGUGAAUACGUUCCCGGGCCUUGUACACACCGCCCGUCACACCAUGAGAGUUGGGGAUACCCGAAGCCUGUGAGCCAACAGUUAAAUGAGGCAGCAGUCGAAGGUAGAAUCAAUGAUUGGGGUG